GAACACAUCUCCUUUGGAAGCCCUCAUCCAACGCCCCUGAAUCUCCCCAUUCAAUGGCAUUAAAUUUCCGUUACCAAACAAAAUCACCAUUUUACCAAACAAAAGGCAUUAACAAACCCAUUAUUCCUCCUCAUUCAUAGAAAACGCCUAUGGUUUCUGAAACGCUUCAUGCCUUCAUCAGGCGUUCGAGUAUAUAAACUUCUCCAUGUGUAAUCUUCCAUUCCCACUUGAAGCACAUCAUUCAGCUCCACGAAAAUAAUUGUUGCUAGAUUUGCUUAUUGAAGUGAUUGGUUUGUGCACUGUUGAGUUGGGAAUAACUUGGAAAGCUUUGUUUAACACAUUGCUUAGAAUCUUAGGUCUAAUCCUGAGAACACGCUUGGAAUUCUAACAAUGGCUGGUAAAUGUGUUCGUGUUUUGGUUACUCCUACCAGUGAUCUUGGAAAGAUAUUGGCUUGCGUGGAUGGUGGAGAGAUGAACUUGGAUGCUGGGAUCUAGGUAGCUCAAUUGGUUUUAAAACAUCGAUAAAACAGCAACAUAAAACUAAAGUUCAUUGUUGGAAGUCCAGUAAAAUAUGAUAAGAAGGCAUUGGGAAGAAGCUGAAAAAGGUCAGUGAUAUCCUAGAAAAUGUUGAUUUUGGUUAAGAAGGUGACGAGAAGCCAGAAAUUCUUGAAGCUUUCUCAACUUUGCUAGAAUUGUAACUAAAUGAGCUAAUUCAAGAUCUCUACCUAUCGGAGAACAUAUAUUUUCUAGACUUGGUAUUGAAUACCCAUUUCCUGCUCAUCUUGAGUGUCUAAUCUUAUUUUUGUUUCCUUUAAUCAGUUUUCAGCAUGUAACCGUGCAUCACUAUGUUCUGAUUUUUGUGAAUUUGCCAACAGUCUAAAAGCUAAAGAUUGAAUGCAGCAGAUAUUUUUCUUUAUUAUUGCAUUGCAACAUUCUGAUUGCAUAUGUAGGCUUAUCCUCUUCAAUUUGUCGAUAAAGCAAGGGAAACUUGGGUGGAAUAAAGACUGUUUCGUAAUUCAUAGACCUGUGCUGGUUACCUUUAUUUAUUACUUCAGGUGUCAGAAACAGUUUGAAGUUUUGCAAAAUCUAAAGGUGGCAUUUACAUAUGACGUUUUAAUGGCAUCCAAUAAUCGAUCGAGGAAAGAAACUGCAUUUCUCAGUUAGCAAUCUGACUAAUCCAUACUGUUGCGAGUAUAAGUAUUCCCUUGAUAAGUCCCAGAAGUAUCACCUGAAGAAGAGCUCAGCUGGAUGUCUCGAGAAGAGAUGUUUUAAACAAUCUUGCUGCCAAUGUCCCAGAAGUAACCCUUCUUAUCAUUUUUCUUUUUAUUUUCUUCCUUUUAAUUAUGUGCGUAUUAUCUUCUUUCCUUUUUCUAGAGGUUUGGCUUUAUGUCCCCCUCCUUUCUGCUUUUUCUUUUCUUUUUGAUUAAUAAAAUCUCUUUGAGUUCUGCCAAAAAAAAAAAAGAAAAACUACGUGCCGGCUGUAGAAGUUUUUUUUCCAGUUGAUCUCAUCUUUCUUAAAUUUUAAUUUUUUCAACAAUCUUAAGCAAAUGUCCGUGUUGCUGAGGGUAACACAUCGUCUGGGUAAAUGGAUAAUCUAUAGCAUGUCCGAAAAUUGGAUAGGAACCAUGGAAAGAAACUGAGGGGAGCAACAGGAAGUAUUGGCAAUGAUAAUAGUAGACAGAAGAGAUAACCUAAAAUCAAGAAGAGUGGAGGAGAAAGUGAAAGGAAAAAUAAACCUCGGCAUUUAAAAGAAGACUGGAGGGUGACACCGUAGUCUGCCAAGUUUGCGAUUAUAGACGUGUUUAGUAAGCUAUGAAAUUUGCCACCGAAAGAAUUCACAGUUGUAAGUGCGUGGAUAGGCUACAUUAAAAAAAGAAUAGUGCAAAAGCUUAGUGAGAGAAAUACAUCUCUUUGAGCAUCAAACUAACAAUCUUCCUGAUACAUUUGUUCCGGCUAAAUAUUGAAUUGUUAGUACUUCAGUAGCAACUAAGUAAAAGUUGUGCUUAGGUUUGGGGUUUUGAAGUGCGCACAAUAACAUUCUAUCUAACCAUUUUACACGCUUUGGUCAGAAUCAAUGCGAAAGACCAAAUAUUGAUGGUUCAUCUGAAUUAUCAACUGUACUAUAAUCAACGAGAAGAAACCAUGUGUUGUAUAAUCAACAAGAAAAAAAAAUGUGGCUGCGACCGGGUACGAGAAGAAAAAUACGUAACACCAGUGUAAAAAUAAAUAUAUACUCAUACAAUGGGUAUGUAACUUAUGUUCACU